rnacentral:rRNA from 1 species
GUGGGGAAUCUUAGACAAUGGGCGCAAGCCUGAUCUAGCCAUGCCGCGUGAGCGAUGAAGGCCUUAGGGUUGUAAAGCUCUUUCAGGGGGGAAGAUAAUGACGGUACCCAGUAAAGAAACCCCGGCUAACUCCGUGCCAGCAGCCGCGGUAAUACGGCGGGGGUUAGCGUUGUUCGGAAUUACUGGGCGUAAAGCGCGCGUAGGCGGAUUGGAAAGUUGGGGGUGAAAUCCCGGGGCUCAACCCUGGAAUGGCCUUCAAAACUCCCAGUCUUGAAGUCGAGAGAGGUGAGUGGAAUUCCGAGUGUAGAGGUGAAAUUCGUAGAUAUUCGGAGGAACACCAGUGGCGAAGGCGGCUCACUGGCUCGAUACUGACGCUGAGGUGCGAAAGCGUGGGGAGCAAACAGGAUUAGAAACCCCAGUAGUCC